UUGCACGCUGGCGGCAGGCCUAACCCCUGCCAGUCGAGCGGAUGAAGGGAGCUUGCUCCUGGAUUCAGCGGCGGACGGGUGAGUAAUGCCUAGGAAUCUGCCUGGUAGUGGGGGAUAACGUCCGGAAACGGGCGCUAAUACCGCAUACGUCCUGAGGGAGAAAGUGGGGGAUCUUCGGACCUCACGCUAUCAGAUGAGCCUAGGUCGGAUUAGCUAGUUGGUGGGGUAAAGGCCUACCAAGGCGACGAUCCGUAACUGGUCUGAGAGGAUGAUCAGUCACACUGGAACUGAGACACGGUCCAGACUCCUACGGGAGGCAGCAGUGGGGAAUAUUGGACAAUGGGCGAAAGCCUGACUCAGCCAUGCCGCGUGUGUGAAGAAGGUCUUCGGAUUGUAAAGCACUUUAAGUUGGGAGGAAGGGCAGUAAGUUAAUACCUUGCUGUUUUGACGUUACCAACAGAAUAAGCACCGGCUAACUUCGUG
rnacentral:rRNA from 1 species